rnacentral:rRNA from 1 species
UGCGAUCACCGAAGUUAAGCAAUGUCGAGCGUGGUCAGUACCUAGAUGGGUGACCACUUGGAAAUACCAGAUACUGUAA